UACGUAGGGGGCAAGCGUUGUCCGGAUUUAUUGGGCGUAAAGGGCUCGUAGGCGGUUUGUCGCGUCGGGAGUGAAAACACGGGGCUUAACCCCGUGCCUGCUUCCGAUACGGGUGGACUAGAGGUAGGUAGGGGAGAUCGGAAUUCCUGGUGUAGCGGUGAAAUGCGCAGAUAUCAGGAGGAACACCGGUGGCGAAGGCGGAUCUCUGGGCCUUACCUGACGCUGAGGAGCGAAAGCAUGGGGAGCAAACAGG
rnacentral:rRNA from 1 species